GCCGCCCCCGGGACAGCGGCAGGGCAGGGACGGGGCGGAGGUCGCGGGCUCGGAGGUCGCUGCCGACCUUUAAAACUAAGGCGAGGAACGCGAAAGCCGGCCGGGGUAAAGGAUGGUUUGCAGGAAGGGAAAAGGAGGAAAAAUAUUUGGCUGGUGGUGGUGGGAUCAAAAAAAUAUCAUUAAACAUCUAGUUUUUGCAGCAUUUCUCAGAGACUGGAUUUAAACUGAAACCAGACUAAAAUAUGUGGAUGCCUAUGGAAUGUUGAGCUGAAGCUGGUGGCCCAGCCUGCAGUGCAACACCUGCUGUUUAAAACCCAAUCUCCGUACCACAUGACUCUUAAAUAACGCAAUCAUGUUCAGAGAUGUGAUAGAAAUAAAACUACAGUUUUUG